rnacentral:rRNA from 1 species
CUUCCGUAGGGUGAACCUGCGGAGGGAUCAUUACUGAGUUACCGCUCUAUAACCCUUUGUGAACAUACCUACAACUGUUGCUUCGGCGGGUAGGCCGUCCCCUGAAAAGGACGCCUCCCGGCCGGGACCGGACCCCCUGUGGGGCCGGACCCGGCGCCCGCCGGAGGAUAACCAAACGCUAUUUUAACGACGUUUCUUCUGAGUGGCAUAAGCAAAAUAAUCAAAACUUUUAACAACGGAUCUCUUGGUUCUGGCAUCGAUGAAGAACGCAGCGAAAUGCGAUAAGUAAUGUGAAUUGCAGAAUUCAGUGAAUCAUCGAAUCUUUGAACGCACAUUGCGCCCGCCAGCAUUCUGGCGGGCAUGCCUGUUCGAGCGUCAUUUCAACCCUCAAGCUCUGCUUGGUGUUGGGGCUCUACGGUCGACGUAGGCCCUCAAAGGUAGUGGCGGACCCUCCCGGAGCCUCCUUUGCGUAGUAACAUUUCGUCUCGCACUGGGAUCCGGAGGGACUCUUGCCGUAAAACCCCCCAAUUUUUCAAGGUUGACCUCGGAUCAGGUAGGAAUACCCGCUGAACUUAAGCAUAUCAAUAAGGCGG